GCCCAAAAAGGGCUGAAACUGCCCGGGGGGGAGCAGGCCGUGGAGGGGAUGGGGCUGUUGCUGCUCUGGAGGGUUUCCGACGUCCGCAGCUUGGAGAACAUGGCCAGGGCGUCCGGGAAGUUGGGCGGAGUGGCCGGCGUGUUGCUCGGGGUGCACAUCUGUGGGGAGAGGAGACGGGGGGGGGGGGUCAGGAGGGUCCCCCUGGGGGCGUUUAGGGUCGCCAACGGGGUGUUUAGGGUUCCCAUGGGACAUUUAGCAUCCCCAACGGGAUAUUCAGGGUCCCCAGUGGGACAUCCAGGGUCCCCAUGGGGUGUUUAAGGUCCUCAACAGAGCAUUUAGGGUCCCCAUGGGAUGUUUGCUGUCCCCAUGGGACGUUUAGCAUCCCCAACGAGAUAUUCAGGGUCCCCAAUGGGGUGUUUACGGUCCCCAUGGGACACUCAGCAUCCCCAUGGCGCAUUUGGGGUCCCCCAUGGGGCAUUUAGCAUUCCUCUUGGGGCAUUUAGGAUCUCCCAUGGGACAUUUAGCAUCCACACGGGGUGUUUGGGGUCCCCAUGGGAUGUUUAGGGUCCCCAAUGGGACAUUUGGGGUCCCCAACAGGGCGUUUAGAGUCCCCAGUUGGGAUGUUUGGGGUCCCCCAUGGGACAUUUAACAUCCCCACAGGGCGUUUGAGGUCCCCAUAGGAUGUUUAGGGUCCCCUCGGGACAUUUAGUAUCCCUGUUGGGGCAUUUAGGGUCUCCCAUGGGACAUUUAGCAUNGGGCGUUUGAGGUCCCCAUAGGAUGUUUAGGGUCCCCUCGGGACAUUUAGUAUCCCUGUUGGGGCAUUUAGGGUCUCCCAUGGGACAUUUAGCAUCCCCACAGGGCAUUUGGGGUCCCCAUAGGAUGUUUAGGGUCCCCAACAGGUCAUCCAGGGUCCCCAUGGGAUGUUUAGGGUCUCCAAUAGGACAUCCAGGGUCCCCAGGGGAUAUUUAGGGUCCCCAUGGGGUGUUUCAGGUCCUGGCUGUGGGGUCCCACCACUGGCCCCCAAACUGCUUAUUGUCCCUCUGCCUGCCCUGGACCUGCUGUGGGGUCAAAAACCCCACAGGUGGCUCCGUGGAGAGCAGCUCCUCGUCCUGUGGGUCCCCAAAGUGCUCAACUUCAACCCUUUUUGGGGUCACCAAAACGCCAGCAGGGCCAGCCGGCCGUGUGUGGGGUUUGGGUUUUUUUUUUUUUGUUGUUCUUUUCCAGCCCCCCCCCUCGCCAGCUGAUUUUGGCAGCCCUCAUCCUUCCUGGGCCAAAGCCAGCCCUACAGAGGGAGCAGAGGAAGGGUCCCAGGGGGAACGGGGGGCUCUGAACCCACCCGGCUGCCUGUGGCCCCACUGCAUGGGGCGGCUGGGGACCCGCUGCCUGCUCACCUUUAUGGGACCGCUGCCCCUGGGCUGCAGCAGCUCUGGUGCUGGCAGCAGGAAUCCCAGGCCGUGCUGGAGCACAGCACCCGUCCCGUCUGCACGAGCAGCCC
rnacentral:lncRNA from 1 species